rnacentral:lncRNA from 1 species
CUGUCAGCACCCCUACCAGACAGUCCCCAGGCUGCAAUCCAUGGUCCAACCCUGACACGUGGCUACCACCCAGAGCCCAUGGCUCUCACCAGGCCUCACGCCUGGUGACCUUCCCUUCCUGUGGGUUUGCACACAAGCACAAGGACGCAGGGCCACCAGGGAAGAGCCGCACCGAGUGUUCCCAGGCCCUUCCUGUGCACCCCGCUACCUCCCGCGAGGCCCUUGGAGCUCUGCCUUUUCCAGAAUGGGGUGUGCUGGAGUCGGGACCUCUUAGCCUGGCUAGUGUCACCUGGCGCUAGCGUCCCCUGGCACUGUGCAUUUAGGCCUCUGCCCCUGGUGCUCACUUCCUCCUAUUGCCGAGGAACAGUUCCCGUGGCACACGUCCCUGCCCAGGCUUUUCCUGUCAAGGCCUUUCCCGGGACUUUGCACAGCACUCAGGCCUGGUGCCAUGCCAGAUCAUGUCCCCUGCCCCCAUUCAUAUGUCCUAGCUUGGGCCCUCAGAACAGGGCCACAUUUGGCAACAGGGCCACCGCCGGGCAGUUAGUUAAGAGGAGGUCUGACAUAGCAGGCCGGUCCUGGUCCAAGGUGAUGGUGUCCUUAUGAGAAGGGGAAGUGGGCCUGUGGAGGUGGAGGCCGAGAUGGGAAUGAGAGGGCUCCAAGCCAAGGAAGCCCAAGGGUCACAGCGGCCACCAGAGGCUGUCGUGGACCCCAGCUCAGUGGGCCAGCCCUGCCGCCCCGAGCUCUGCUUCUGCUCUCAGAGCUGUGAGGCGGGGUUCUGAGGUUUGACGGCCCGUUCUGGCUGGGUUCUUGCUUACCAUGGCUCUGGGACACCUUGCACACAGCCUGUGAGGUGGCUCUGAUGUCUCCCUGUCUGUGGGGAGGUUGGGGUGGGGCAUUGGCUGGGCUAAGGGCUCCCACUGGCUGCCGGCUCCCAACUGUGCUCACGUAGGGGACCCAGAGAAGUUGUGCUCCCAGGGCAGGAACCUGCGGGAGCCCUCUGAGGUGACCCUGAGCCGCCCCAGGUCCCCUGCUCCCUGUGGGUCUCUUUGGGAUGCGGACCUCAGUGCUGCAGGGUUGACCCCCGGCGCUGGCAGCUGACGUGGCACCACUGGGUUUUCUGCAAGAAGAGCAGCUUUGGCUUCCUCCUCGUUCUUGAGUUACGCAGCCAAGUCUCUAAAACCCCAUUUGUCAUAGCGGCUGGGCUGAGCAGGAGACGUCGCUACAGGAAGGCCACACGCACCAGCCCUGCAGUGACCUUGGCCGCUGGGAAAUGCCCUUUGUGAUAUCGAAAUUAAUUACUUCUUGAAGAAAUGUCAGCCAGGACCUAAUGAGUCUGGGGUGUUAGAGAUGCUGCCUGUGUGUGAAGAACACCUGGGGCCAGGGCUUCUCUGUGUCCGGGGCGGUGGCCCAUGACACCUUUCCAGCCCUG